UUUUACUCUAAAAAACACACACUCACACACACUAGAAACAGAUCAGAGAGGGAGAAGACACGGAGAAGGGAAAAACCAAGGGAAAAAGGGAAGAAAAGAAAAAGAAAGGAAGGAAGAAGGAGGAAGUAAGAGUUGAUUUUUUCAUACUUGGGUUUAUUUACUUCAUUUCUUUAAGAGAUUAAAAAUUAAAUGUUUUUUGGUAUUAUGAUGUUAAAUUUCUACUGUUUAAUUAGUUGGUUAAAUUUGUGGGUUUAAUUUGCAGAUUUAGUGAAAGGAGUAUAAUUUCUUGCUUAAAUUGCUUUAUGGAUAAAUUUCCAAUUUAAUCAAGGUUAGUAAUAUUAUUUUUAGUAAACCCUAGAUUUCUAAUUGAAUGCUUGAGAAAAGAUAGCUUGGGAAAAUUAUAGUAUUGAUGAAACAGACACUUGAAAGAAUUAAUAUAAUGGUCAAGAUGUAACUUAAAUUGGUGCAAGAGAGAAUUCAAGUUUCACAAUAAUGGAAGAAGAAAUUGUUUCCAUGUUUGGGAUGAAGGUAAACUUGGAUAUGUACAUAUUUGUGAAGGUAUUGAAAACUUGAAAUAGCUCCAAUUGAUUAAAGGAAAAUUUAGAAAAAUUAUUCAAGUAUCGAGAAAUCUAAUUUUGGUUUUUAGUUAUUAAAUAUUAAGAGCUACAUAGUAUGAUAGUUGUUAAAUGGGUCAUUUUGUAUCACAUUUCAGGUGGUGAUUAAGAUAUUGGAAAAGCUUAUUGAUAUUCAUAGCAGCUUGUCUUGGUGAGUGGAUAAAACUUAAUUUUCAGAAACAAGUAUUCAUUAAAUUUUGAAGUUACUUAUUUUAUAAAGUUAAGUAGAUAGCAUGAUUUUCGAAAAAAAAAUUGAUUUUAUAAUUAGUUCUUUUUAAUGUUUAAUUCAGUUCAGUUAAAUCAUUUGAUUAGUAAGUUGUAUGAAUAUUAAAUGUUUCAGCAUAAUUAAAGUUAUUUUAAAAUCACCAGAAAGUACCCAAGUGAUUUUACCCCAAUCUGCACUGGUGUGAAUGUGUUUCCACAGUGUAUAACUAGUUAUGGUGAUUUUACCUGCUCUGCACUAUUGUGAAUGUGUUUCUAUAGUGUAUGAACAGAUUAUCAGAGGUCUCUAGGACCCACUCUCGUACACACAUAGGCUUUGGACCGUGUACUAGGGUGAUUAGCCUUUGGGGCAGCUCUGCGUACGUACGACCAGAUUAUCAAAUGUGAAUGAACUUGUCUUGUACAUCGAGAUUACUCUGUACAUGAGUAAUGCUAUUCAUAAGGUACCUUUUUGGUGGAAUUUUUCGGUAUUUUUACAGUUUAUCAGAUUUUAGAAUAUAGAAUUCAGUUAAUUCAGUUUUCAAAAUAAAUCUUUUAGCUUAUAGUAUUGAGUAGCAAUAAUAUUUCAUAGAUUUUCAUGGAUAUCAGAUUAAUUAUGUCAUUAUACUUUACAGUUGCUUAUCCAGAAUUAAGAACAAAGAAUUUUAUAAUGCAAUCAUGUUUAGUUUUAAAAGUGUUACCAGAUUUUAGAAAUUCUCAAAGUUUUAAUAGAGUUUGAAUUUUCAGAAUAUAUGGAUAAAAGAAAAAUAUAUUUAUUUGCAAAAUAUCUACUCACUGAGUUAUAAGAACAUACAUCUUUUCACCAUUUUCUUUAUUAGAUAGUAGUUGAAUUGAGCAACUUUGGAGCCUGUUAAACCACCGAAUUGAGACACGCUUAGUAGGUUGUAUGAUAUCCUUUAUCAGAUUAUACAGCGUGUGUUCUUUUGGGGUACAUGUAACUUAAAUAAAAAAUAAUUCAUCAUGGGCUCAUUACAUAUUUGACGUAUUUGGUAUAUUUGAGGAUUGUUGGUUGUAAAGUAAGUAAAUAUUGAAUGAUCAGCAUUUUAUUUGAAUAGUUGGUAUUCUGAGGAACUGGCUUAUCAUGUUUUAUAUUAUAGGUAUUAAUUUGAGGAAAAAUUGGUUAUUGUUCAGGUGAAUUUAGUUCAUAUUUCAGGGGGAAUUCUGUCAAAAUUUUGUUAAAAAUACUUUCUAG
rnacentral:lncRNA from 1 species